UACGAAGGGGGGCUAGCGUUGCUCGGAUUUACUGGGCGUAAAGGGCGCGUAGGCGGAUGUUUAAGUCGGGGGUGAAAGCCCGGGGCUCAACCUCGGAAUUGCCUUCGAUACUGGACAUCUUGAGUACGGGAGAGGUGAGUGGAACUCCGAGUGUAGAGGUGAAAUUCGUAGAUAUUCGCAAGAACACCAGUGGCGAAGGCGGCUCACUGGCCCCGGUACUGACGCUGAGGCGCGAAAGCGUGGGGAGCAAACAGG
rnacentral:rRNA from 1 species